UACGUAGGUGGCAAGCGUUGUCCGGAUUUAUUGGGUUUAAAGGGUGCGUAGGCGGGUAUUUAAGUCAGAGGUGAAAGACGGCCGCUCAACGGUCGCAGUGCCUUUGAUACUGGAUAUCUUGAGUGCAGACGAGGUCUGUGGAAUGGAUGGUGUAGCGGUGAAAUGCUUAGAUACCAUCCAGAACACCAAUUGCGAAGGCAGCAGACUAGGGUGCAACUGACGCUGAGGCACGAAAGCGUGGGGAGCAAACAGG
rnacentral:rRNA from 1 species